UACAUGGGGUGCAACCGUUGCUCGGAAUUAUUGGGCGUAAAGCGCACGUAGGCGGUUCGUUAAGUCGGAUGUGAAAGCCCUCGGCUCAACUGAGGAAGUGCACCCGAAACUGGCGAGCUUGAGUACGAAAGAGGAUCGCGGAAUUCCCGGUGUAGAGGUGAAAUUCGUAGAUAUCGGGAGGAACACCGGCGGCGAAGGCGGCGAUCUGGGUCGAUACUGACGCUGAGGUGCGAAAGCGUGGGGAGCAAACAGG
rnacentral:rRNA from 1 species